GAUGAACGCUAGCGGCAGGCUUAAUACAUGCAAGUUGAGGGGCAGCAUGAUAUACGCGAGUAUAUUGAUGGCGACCGGCGGACGGGUGAGUAAUAGGUAGGAGACCUACCUCAUACAGGGGGAUAGCAUAGAGAAAUCUGUGGUAAUACCCCAUGAGGUUAUAUGAAUAGAGGCAUAUAAUCAAAGCAUAAGCGAUUAUGCGGUAUGAGAGGGGCCUACUGACCAUUAGCUAGUUGGUGAGGUAAGGGCUCACCAAGGCGAAGAUGGUUAGGGGUUUUGAGAGAGAGACCCCCCACAUUGGAACUGAGAGACGGUCCAGACUCCUACGGGAGGCAGCAGUAGGGAAUAUUGGGCAAUGGGCGAAAGCCUGACCCAGCCAUGCCGCGUGAAGGAAGACGGCCUUAUGGGUUGUAAACUUCUUUACUACGCGAAUAGAGGUUAGUACGAGGUACUAAUAGGAAGGUAGUGUAGUAAAAAGCACCGGCUAACUCCGUGCC
rnacentral:rRNA from 1 species